rnacentral:rRNA from 1 species
GAUGAACGCUGGCGGCGUGCCUAAUACAUGCAAGUCGAGCGAACAGAUGAGGAGCUUGCUCCUCUGACGUUAGCGGCGGACGGGUGAGUAACACGUGGAUAACCUACCUAUAAGACUGGGAUAACUUCGGGAAACCGGAGCUAAUACCGGAUAAUAUAUUGAACCGCAUGGUUCAAUAGUGAAAGACGGUUUUGCUGUCACUUAUAGAUGGAUCCGCGCCGCAUUAGCUAGUUGGUAAGGUAACGGCUUACCAAGGCAACGAUGCGUAGCCGACCUGAGAGGGUGAUCGGCCACACUGGAAAUGAGACACGGUCCAGACCCCUACGGGAGGCAGCAGUAGGGAAGCUUCCGCAAUGGGCGAAAGCCUUACGGAGCAACGCCGCGUGAGUGAUGAAGGUCUUCGGAUCGUAAAACUCUGUUAUUAGGGAAGAACAAAAUGUGUAAGUAACUAUGCACGUCUUGACGGUACCUAAUCAGAAAGCCACGGCUAACUACGUG